GAUGAACGCUCGCUACAGGCUUAACACAUGCAAGUCGAGGGGCAGCAUGGUCUUAGCUUGCUAAGGCCGAUGGCGACCGGCGCCCGGGUGAGUAACACGUAUCCAACCUGCCGUCUACUCUUGGACAGCCUUCUGAAAGGAAGAUUAAUACAAGAUGGCAUCAUGAGUCCGCAUGUUCACAUGAUUAAAGGUAUUCCGGUAGACGAUGGGGAUGCGUUCCAUUAGAUAGUAGGCGGGGUAACGGCCCACCUAGUCUUCGAUGGAUAGGGGUUCUGAGAGGAAGGUCCCCCACAUUGGAACUGAGACACGGUCCAAACUCCUACGGGAGGCAGCAGUGAGGAAUAUUGGUCAAUGGGCGAGAGCCUGAACCAGCCAAGUAGCGUGAAGGAUGACUGCCCUAUGGGUUGUAAACUUCUUUUAUAAAGGAAUAAAGUCGGGUAUGGAUACCCGUUUGCAUGUACUUUAUGAAUAAGGAUCGGCUAACUCCGUG
rnacentral:rRNA from 1 species